AAAAAAGACGCUGGAUAACGUCGGUAUAUUAACGUCAGUUGAUAAACCGACUUAAAAUUUUCGAUUAGGAAGGAAUUUUGCGUCACUUAAGAAACCGACAUUUUGUUUUGUGUCAUUUAUCUAAAAGAUUAAAAAAAAUGAUUUCUUCCAUUAACAUAAUUUUAUGAGCUUUCGAUUGUUUCUCAUCUCUUCCAUUUACGAGUUCUUCGUCUAAGCUUCUCCUCGCUAUGGUAUAUGGAGCUCUGAUUUCAAUCAAUUUGGAUUCAAGCUCAGAGGCGGAGAAGUAGAUCUAAAAUUGAUGCUCUCUGUGACGGAUCAAGCAUCCUCUCAUCUUGAAUCCGCCAACUCAGGUAUCGAUUCUAACUUGGAACUUGAUCGGAGAUGUUCUUCGUUAGGUUUUCGAACAUUGAUUAGAAUCGUGAUAGUUUAUGCGGAAAAUUGAAAUGUUAGUGUUUGAAUGCAUCGAUCAAUUUUGUUGGCUCUCAAUUGGUACAGAGGAACUGGCCAGAGAUUAAGUCACAGAUUGACCUGAUUCUAAGAGAAGCUUGGUUGCUCAAUUUUCACUGUCAAUAUCGAUUUAGAAAAAGGAGUUGAUUUAAGCCAAGACUGCCUCAAGUUUUUGUUUUCCACGACUUCAAUAAGUUGAGACUUGAGAGUAUAAUCUUUGAGGAUCUUCAAGGAGCAUCGUGGACUUGUUCCAAUGUUUUAAUUUGGUUGAUUUACCCUCUAGUUUUGGCAAUGAUGUUUUUGGUUGCUCAUCAAGAAGAGCAACUACGUAUAUGUUUUGUUUUACAUGUCACAGGGGCAGAUGAGUUAUAGCAUAAGCUACAAUAGGUGUGAAUAACAAGAGAUUGUAGCUUUUUCUUUAAUCAAGAUACUAGUAUAUGGUUUUGAGAUUGUUUACAAAGUGUGAGAAGAGAUUGCAGAAUGUUAACUUAGGGCCUUAGACUGUUGGAGAAUAAGUCAAUUUUUAGUUUGGAAAAAGGUGUGGACGAUUGAUCAGGAUUGGCAACUGAUGCAAGAGGUAGAGAUGUUACAGUUGGAUUAGUACUACUUCCGGUUUCUUUUCCAAAAUAUGGUUGAUCCUGAAGAGCUUCCUCUAAAUGAUGAACUGAUUUUUUUGCUUGACUUCAUUUGUUGAGCUGAAUUUAGAAUUAUCUUGUGCAAGAGCAGGAAGGGAGAUAUAGAGGUUAACAACAUGUUUCAUCCAGCAGCAUUUGACACUCUUCAUCUAUUGUAUCAAACGACCAUGCCAGAACAAAAGCAAAUAACUGAAGAGGAGAAUUGCGAGAUACAUGGAUAAUAAGAUGGCAUAUGUGUGUAACUGUUAAAGUGACAUUUAUAUUCUAUGUAAAACAGAUUUAUUUAAUUAAGGGAGCUUUUAUUUGAGUUCUU